rnacentral:tRNA from 1 species
GAGGGUAUAGGUCAGUGGUAAAAAAUGUAUGCUUAGCAUGCAGGAGGUCCUGGGUUCAAUCCCCAGUACCUCCA